CAGACGAUUGUGAUACCACGGGGCCAGGUGUUGUGGAGUUGCUGCUGUGCUCAGGAGCAUUUGGUGCGUUUACAGCCGCACGUGGCAACGUGGCUGGUAUUGUUUGUCUGGCCACCGCCAGGCCAGGACAGUCGGCUACAAUGUGUGGCAAUGUGACCGGUGGAAACUGAUUUGCUGCCAAUGGGACAUUAUCAUCAGAGGCCAUACGUACUCGGAGUCGCCGGCAUUGCAGUUGCCACGUGUCUCGGCAAUGCCUGAGUGAUGCCGUACCUGAUAGCAGCGGUUGUGGAACUAGCCGCAGGUGGCGCUAUGGCUGGUAAAGCUUGAUCGCGGAUUAUGUGAUGUGUUAGGAGUCGCGGACGUUUGCGCUACAACAGGGCCAGUUGUUGAGAAGCUGCCGUUGAGCUCAGGAGCGUUUGGUGCGCGUGCAGCCGCACGUGGCAAAAUGGCUGGCAAUGAUUGUCUGGCCACAGCCAGGCCUGGACGGUCAACUACCGUGUAUGGCAGUGUUACUGGUGGAGACUGAUUGGAUAUUAUUGACGAACUCGAUGUCGCCGGCGUUGCAGCUGCCACGGGUCUCGGCAAUGCCUGAAAGAUACUAAUAGCAGCAGCUGUGGAACUGGCCGCAGAAGGCGUGGU